UCUAGAAUCAUUCAUCAUCCUUCUGAACUUUUGUUGAUGUUUGCACGUUUGAAGAAAGAGGCAACCCCUCUAAUCAUGCCAGCUACUCUUCAGAAAUUCUGGGUGGAAUAGGAAGUACAAUGUCAUUGCCUAAUUUGUGGAUCAAUAAAGACCAUCUGGGGCUGUCAUGUAGCCUUGCCCUUUCUGUAAGAACUGUUGAGAAGGAAUUGUCGAGGUUGUCAGGAACACAUGCUUUACACCACUUGCACAACAUCUGUAUGAGGAAUGAAGCUUACACAAGUCUGGGUAAAGUUACGCAGUGUGCAGGAAGUCCAAUGUAUGAAGGAGAUGGAAGGAAAUCUGGAGCCUUCUGUGUCCUAAAGAGACUCACUUGUGCAAGGAUUAAAUUGCAUGCACAUUAACAGACAUGGAAUCAUGGGUUACUGUUCUAAGUGUCACCUCAAUUCUUCUACACAUUGGAAAUGCCUAUUUGGGAUUUGAUUGAGAUCUCUUUCCUUUUUUAGUGUUAUUUUUUAAUUUGAUUAAAAUGAUGAGACACUUAGAUUUUCAAACAUAGCUAGUUUUCCUGAAUCCAUCCAUCCACAUAAAGGCAAAAAAAUAUUUCUGAACAUGUUCUCCAUUGAGUGUUUAAGUGCAAGUUCCACAACUGCACAUAAUAAAUAUCCAAGGGUCAAGAAGAAAAUAUUAGCUAUAUCAAGCAUAAUUUCAAACACCAGGCAUCAUUCAAAAGUCCU
ensembl:lincRNA